CCGCACUCGCGCCCCCACCCUAGCCGCACCCACUCACUCUCAUCUCUUCCCCGAUCCCCUCACACGAACCCUAGCCGCCGCUACCCAGCGGGCCCUGCAGCCGUCGUCGCGCUACCAUCCUCCUCCCCUCGUGACCGUGCUUCCUUCCCUCUGGCCAGACCCGCUCCUCAUACCGCGACAAUGAUGGAGGGAUCCGUCGGCGCCGACCAGGGUCCCAACUGACGGACUCGUCGGGUCGCUGCUCCUCGGGGCAAGCCCCUCCCUCUGCGCUGGCUUGGGAACCCCUCGGGGAUGCCGCCGGUGCGGUGGGACGCCCAUGGCCGCACGGGCUGGGCACCGAGCGGUGGGGCCUGUGGCGGGGGUUCCGGUCAGGAGCUUGGUCAGGCAGGUGUCGACCUGAGCCGCCGGCGCUUGGCUGCAUGUUGUUCGCUCUGGAUCCGUUCACGCCCCAAGGGCGUCCGUGGGCGUCACGGCGACUUCAUUGGCCAGCGCAGUUUUUCAUGUAGGCUGUUCUACUUCUUCGAAUCCAGGCGGCACAAGGAGGACCCCGUGCUGAUCUGGCUUACGGGAGGGCGUGGCUGCAGCAGCGAGCUAGCCCUCUUCUAUGAGAAUGGCCCCUUCCACAUAGCGGAUGACAUGUCACUACUCUGGAAUGAGUUUGGCUAGGAUCAGGUAUAUAUACAAACAGUUUGUGUACUUAUCAAUCAAUUUGUAUAGUUUUGUUCUUAGAGAUUGUUUAGACCCUGUACAAUAUUCUCUCUUUUUGAAAUUGGAUAUUGGCUGUUGCACGAUUCCAAUCUUAUCUAUGUUGAUCAUCCAAUUGGGACUAGGUUCACCUACAACUCUGAUUCGUGUGACACUCACCAUAACAGAGCGAGGGUCAGCAAUGACCUAUAUGAAUUCCUAUAGGUAAUAUGUGUCCCUGUUGUGAUAGGAUGCAUAAAUGAAGUGAAGGCACCAAUUCAUUAUUAUGGAUUUGAAAUAUUACGUUAUGCAUUCCCGGCCAGUGAGCAUAUAUAUGUAGAGGAACACAUGCAUCGUUGCUCCUUACCAUUAUUGUGGGUGCUUCCUAUUGUGGCGACAAGGUUAGUUAUGCAAUAUUUGAGGUGAACCUGAGUGAUUGCCCUUAUUGCGAGUUGCAAUCAAGAUGCAAAAAUGGCCUUUUGUGUAUUUCCUCAUUAGUUCCUUGCGUCUUUCUGCAUGCGAUUUUGAUAGGCCUUCUUCAAGGAGCACCCAGAGUUUGUUGAAAACAAUUUAUAUAUAACUAGGUAGUCAUAUGCUGGGGCACUACAUUCCUGCCUUUGCAACUCGGGUAUACAAGGGGAACAAGAACAAUGAGGGCAUUCACAUCAAUCUGAAGGUUUAGUCAUCUCUUUAUGGAUUAGCCCAUAAUGUUCUGUGCUAUAAAGAUUUUUGUCAUUUUAAUCCACUCUUUCUGUUACUUCUCAAGGGUUUUGCAAUUGGUAAUGGACUUGCAUAUCCAGAGAUACAGUAUAAUGCAUACAUCGAUUAUAAAUUUGAUAUGGGUUUUUUCACACAAUCUAAAUUCGAAAUGUGCUAUAUAAACAAAUUUCUCUAUUUUAUGUUCUUUAGAAGUACACACAAUCUUGGACUAGAUGCAAAAAAUGUGUUGUAUAACAUCCUUUAACUGACUAUGAAUCAGUGUUUUGUAGGAUUGUAUGCCAUGUUAUGGAAAGAGAUGCUCAAGUUUGAAAACAUUUUUGGUGUAUUUUUUGUUUCGAUAGCAAGCACAUGUCAUGAUGGGUUCCCACUGAAGUGCAUAGAAUGCACAAUGCAUUACCAGGUGUGCCUUGUCUGCGACAAUGACCUUUGGACCAACAACACCUGAACAUUCUGGACUACCUCUCUUCAGGUGUGCCUUAUCUACCAGUUCUGGUUGGUUGGAGCUCAUCCUUGUUUUGCUUGUUUUCCCUUGCAGGUUGCUCUGAUGAGGGUGCUCGUGGCUGUCAUCGGUUUGUCCUGCUCCAUCUUUGGUUGCUGCUCUGCAGGUUUUUCUUUUUCUUUUCCUAUUCUCAGUUCUCCAAACAUGCAGGUUUUCCUAUUCUCAGCUCUACCAAUGGUUCCGUGUGGAUUGUAAAAAAGUAGGAUCAUGUUUGUUUUUCAUCUGUUGAAUGGACUACUAUGGGAAAUAACCAUAGAAAAUUGACCACAUGUUCACAACGACAAUCUCUUCUCGGCAAGCACAGACCACAGGGCCGUCUUCCUCUCUCGCCUCUUCCAUACCGUCCUAGAUGCGGCAGACCUUAUCCUCGAGAAGCUCCUAUACUAGGUACAAACGUUUAGAUUCAGGCCCUCUCCCUCUCCUUCUACAUCUUUGUAAAAAUAGUCUAAACAUUUCUUUAGAAAUAUACAUGGUUGACUGAUUUGGUUCCUUGGGUAUUGACCUAUGCAAAAUAUGAAAUUAGACUAUGGACCAGUAUUGCGCCAUUGAUUAUAAUGAGAGUAUAACUAUAUGCUCGCUGCAUCAUGCUCUUUACCUCAAGAUGUUUGAUAUAUGCUCAUCUUGUAUAGUUUAACUUUUUGCUAAUUAUCGAAUUGUUUUGUUUUUCAGUGUUCAUCAUGUACCUCUAAAGGCAUGAAAAGGAACAUCAUCAAACAUUCUAUUUAUUCCCCAUUUAGUUUAUUUAUUGUCUUACAUGGCUAAUUUAGUGCUUGGGGCUACUUCUAUUUUUAGUUUGCUAUCCAGGUUUUUAGCCGCCAAGAGCAGUUCAAGCCCCAGGCGCCAAGCUACUUCGACACAGGUCUAUCUUUCUCUUUCCAUAGUAUUCAUCUUCUAGACGAAUUUUAUCCUUUGAAUUACUGCAGUAAAUUAAGUUGGCACAAACAAUUCUAUUUCAAGAUAUACUAUCUGAGGUGUGAACAAGAUGAAAAUGAUCGCGUAGGUAGUUGGUCUAUAUGGUUUAUAAUCCCUUUUAUUGAGAUCAUAUGAACUUUAGUCUGCUCUAGCUCUGAAUUGCUCUGCAUUGUUUGGUAUCCAAUUUAGCGUUAGGUUUCAGAUAACAGAGCAAUUGAUGAGAGGCACACAUGAGCACAUACUGUUCUUUGAGAGAACACACACACACACACACACACACACACACACACACACACGGAUACACACAUAUUUUUUAGCUACUCACACACAUGAAACACAUACUUAGUUGUUGAGUAAAAUAUGCAUUAGAACACUUUCUUACCACAUAAUUUAGCAGACAAACAUGAGCAAAUGAGAAAGGAGUGAUUCAAACAUGAGAAGAUGAGGGAUGACAAACGCAUGCUCAUCAAGAAGCAUACCAGCAUGUGGAUUAAUAAUGGAAGGGGAAGGAAACUUGCUUCUUUGCAUUUUUUAUAUAGUAUAGAAGGGCAAAUGGUCGACAUUCUAAAUGUUAGGAAAGGAACCGACACAGUCCAUGUAUAAGUAUUUUAUUCAGACUAAUGCUCUGAAAGUAUUUAACUUGUUUACUAACAAUCUACACUCGAAAAUAUUAAUACUCACACAGAAGUAGACAUGCCAUGGCUAGCAGGUGCAAGGUCCUCAAAUACUCAUAACAGAAAACAACAAAUGCGUAUGUCCAUUUAUGAUCUUUUCACAUGAUAAUAACACUAUGAGUUAGUUAAUUAUAUGUGUGGAAUUUAAAGUGAUCAACAUGUGACUGUGACUAUUGUCGCUUUUUUGUGGUAGGCCAUGGUUAAAAGGCAAUACAAAAUAUUUGCUACUUUUACUGAUAUUUUGGGUCCACAUCUAAAACUGUCCCUAAACAUUAUGUUGUCUUACAUUAAUGAAAAUAACUUCUUAAGGCACUCAGUCGCAAGUUAUGAUUCUACCAACCUACAAUAUUUACUCAUUCUGUAAAAUGAUCAUGUGAACACCCACUUUAUAUGAAGGCACUUACUAAUUUAAGAUCGGUAACCACUUUAUAUGAAGGCACUUACUAAUUUAAGAUGGGUAUGUUCUGAAUUGUAAUUCCACUGGUUUAUGAAACUACAUAAGAUGUUAUAUGUGCAUGGUACUACAGUUUUGGCACUGAAAUUGUUUUGGUAUAUUUUCAUUCCGAUAGGUUUGCAAUAUUGUAGGAAUCAUCUGGAGAUGGGUUAUAGAUAUUAAGCUAUGUAGGAAAUGAUUUUGAGCUAACAAGCCUUGAACUUGCUUUCUGUUGACCUUUGUACGCAUGGGUUCGGUAUGAUGCAAUGUAGGCAUUGUUUGUUGUUGAAUGGAUUAUUUUUUCCUUCUAGGUAACAUCUCAUGCUUAGAAUGAACUCUUUGUACAUAUUGUUUUGUUUAUAUCCUCUUCUUUUUGCCAUAGACAAAUAGUGGCGUGACUCUGAUGUAUGUUUCACUAGCCUUUUAUUAUCAACUUUUUUUUGGAAGCUAGAAUAUCAGUAAUGGGUUUAAUGAGUCCAUUUGCUUAGAUUAAAUGAGUUUUGUAUGGUUUUAUAUCAGUUUUGGAAGCUAAAUCAUCAUGCCUUUGUUCGUUUGCAUCUCCUGUUGGUUUGUUCUUAUAUAAUCCCUUUAGAUGUGUAACUUUUGCACAAUCAUAAGCCCUUUAGAAUCCUAAAAUCUUUCUUCGACAAGUUGUUUGGACCGGCACCCUCGUGCCAAAGCGCGCCGCUGGUGUCCUUGUUUCCAAGUAAAGGAAGGAAAAUGUUUCAUCAUUGGCCAGUGCAGGUAUUGCUCUAUAGCUGAUAUAUUGCUUAGUUUCUUCAUGGUUUUAAUUUUGUAGCCCCUCAUUAAAAUUGCUUGGGAACAUGAGGCUUAAAAGUUUCAACCCCGUUCAAGCGCUUCAAAGCUUUGCAUGUGUUCUAUUUUAUUUUAAAUAAUUUAACAAUUCUUCUAUUUUUACCCAUACUUACCUUUUAUGGGAAAAUAGUUUGUGAAUUCCCCAUUGAGAUUGGAGUACUUAUAUAUGUGUUGUAUAACUUGUAUUGAUGUGGUCAUAACGAAGCAACUGCAAAUCUUUUUUAGUUCCUUAUGCUGAAAAUACUCUUAUGUGACACCAUAUGUCUACUAACACAUAGUGAGGUUUUGCAGGUGCUCCAGUUUUAGAAGAACUACAUCUCUCUAGUCAUUUUUUCUUCAAGACAAUGAUCAUUAUCUACUACCUUGUGCGAUGCAUAGGUUAUUGCACUAUUAGUGUAUCUUCUAAUAAAAGAUGGUCUACUGUAAUCUCUACCUGGAUUGUGUCAUGCUGGGAGGCCAUUUUUUAGAAGAACUACAUCUCUAUAGUCAUUUUUCUUUUAAGAUUUUUUUUUCUUUGCCGCCCACAUGUGCAUAUAGACUACAUGCAUGGAGCACUUUGAAUCAUGGCCAUAUAUACAAUACAAUAAGCAACCUUUUAAUCAUGAUGCAUAUGACCUCAUUUAGUGUAUUAUAAACAGGGGUUAAGCUAUGUGGUAUACAAUUAAUGGGAUUUCCCCCCUAAAGUAUUGAAAGCUAGAUAACUGGAGGUUGUGUAUUAUAAGAAUGUUGUACUAUUUGGUGUCACCUAUAACUGUUCUAUAUCAUAAAAUAUUCUGAGGUCUUGUGGUAUCGAAAUGCUGAAUUUUAUUGUUGCUCAGAUUAAUUUCAGCAAAAGAUAUUGUCAUAAAAUUAUAUUAGAACUCUGCUCCUGUAGGUUUGAGUGCAACUUUGCUCAUAUAGGUUUUAGUACACCUGUGCUCAUGUAGGUUUCACUAAAAAUAAUGUACUAUUUGGUGUCACCUAUAACCAAUUAAGUUCUGUUUAUAUAAGCUGACAAAUUGUAGACUAGAAGUUAGUGCUUGUGGUUAUAUUUCAUAUAUGUCUUCUUGAUUUUUCUUUACUGAUGCUUUUGAUUUCUCUAUAAUUCACAUAUGUAUAUUAGGUAUUACCGAAAGCAAUUGUAAAUAUUCGAUGUGAGUAUUACCGAGAUGGAUACUGGCUUUUUAUGGCAAGCAUAUUUUGCUACUUUCAAACAAGGAAUAACAUUCAUUAUAUUCUUCAAAUUGAGUACAGUCGAAUUGUUUCUGAACAAGCAUGGAUACAAAUAGUAAUGCAGUUUCACUCUUCCGAGGGAACCAGCAACAACCACAUUAUGAAAGGGUCAAGGAGCAGCAACAACCACAUUAUGGAAGGGUCAAGGAAGGGGCACUGAUCCGAUAUGCAUCAAUGACAAUGAAGUUAAAACUCUAAUAUAGCCUACUCUGACAUUUUAAGAUUAUUUGGUGAUACAAAAGUGCAUGUCCUAUCUAUAAAUAAUGGUUGGCUAUGCUAGAAACAUGAAUUCUACAUUUGAUUUUUGCAUGGACUAAAUGUUUCUUUUUUGUCUUGAACCUGAGAACGCCUACCCCCCUUCCCUUUUAGUUAGCCUCUCUGGUGCUAUGAAUCGACCCACUUCAUUUCCCAUUUUUCUAUGACCACUGGGAAUUUCCUAUAGGUUUUCGUUUGCUUAUUGAGUUGUCAGUUUUUUUAUAAUGUUCGUGAGCACUAAUAAUUUCCAUAGUGCGCUAUGCUUUUAGGACAUAAUUUUUUCAUGUGUGUUGAUGCAGUUAUGGUGUCCUUUACGAGAUAAUUAUAUGUACUCGCCAUUCUCUUAGAAGAUAUUAUGUUUCAUUAUGUUGCUAGACCAUUCUCUUAGAUUCUUUUUAAUGACCACUGAUGUAUCUCUGUGGUACUCUCUCUCUCUCUGUCUCUUCCUCUCAUCGUCUUGGAUUGCAGGUGACCACCAUCACGGAGCGCGACGAGGUCUGUGUAGUAGCUUGGACGGAAUCUCCAAUGAUUUAUCUCCUUCAUUGUUGUAAACAGAGGCUCUUAUAGCUUACAUAUUAAUCCCAUUCAUUAAUUUUGGUUUGGCUCUCCUAUGUUCCUGCUCUAAGUGUUUAACCUAAUGUCGUCUAAUUAGCUUUUUGUAAUCUCAUGAGAACUCAAUGCUGCCUUGCUUAUGGGGCGGACUAAAUGCAAUUAGCUAUUGUAGUCUCAUAUCACUGUGUUGAACUUGAUGAUGCCUUGCUUUUUGUAAAAGACUGGAUGUUACUUUUUCUCUUGAACAUGAAAAACAAUUGAUCUGUUGAAUAUA